rnacentral:rRNA from 1 species
CAGUAGCCGCGGUAAUACGAAGGGUGCAAGCGUUACUCGGAAUUACUGGGCGUAAAGCGUGCGUAGGCGGCUUCUUAAGUCGGAUGUGAAAUCCCUGAGCUUAACUUAGGAAUUGCAUUCGAUACUGGGAAGCUAGAGUAUGGGAGAGGAUGGUAGAAUUCCAGGUGUAGCGGUGAAAUGCGUAGAGAUCUGGAGGAAUACCGAUGUCGAAGGCAGCCAUCUGGCCUAAUACUGACGCUGAGGUACGAAAGCAUGGGGAGCAAACAGGAUUAGAUACCCGCGUAGUCCCUGUCUCUUAUAC